UACAAUUGCACCUAAUUACAUACGCUGGGAAACAAUGUCAAAGUGGAACUACCGCAUUUAAACCCGAGAACAAGGAUAUCAAUUCAUCAACCACAUACAUAAAUAAACCCUUCAACUCGACCCCUUUCCUUGCUUGUCACAUUUGGCAAUAUCUUUUCCCUUGCUAAAAGUCAGCUUGAGUGAUAUGUCGACGCCUCGUUUCUCAUUAAUUCUAACUAGUCCGUCAAACAACGUUGGCAACUCCUCUUCUUCCUUGUUGGGCGCAUGAUUCACCGGACAAUUAAUCGAACUCAAUUCCUCGCCGAAGACUUCAUCUUUCACCCAAUCAAAGUAUCUACAGUCAUCGCUACAUGUGAAGAACAAACGCCCUUUGUUACCGGUGUUCCGUUCAACCUCAAACAUUUUCGAUAUUCGUGGUCACAACUAAGGCAUCGUUGUUUUGAUUGGCAUUGUCCGAAAUAGUGAGUGUUGCUUCUAGAUCCGUGACAAACUCCAAAGUUUCUUCCUCUCAUUCUACUGGAUGACUGUAAAUGACGCAAUGUGAAUCAUAAUUGUGGGGCGUUCGAGGAUGAAAUAAAAACGACAACAUUCUGAUUAAUCGAAAAAUGAACGAAGUUUAGUUUUAAAUUUCAGUAUUACAAAAGGGCAGUAGUGGUCACCUUCAAGAUUUUAACUUCCACAAACACGUUUCUUGUAAUUUAAAAGCUUAUAAUCCCAGCACACAUGUAUCUUACAAGAAUAAACUAACAGUAUGGCCAACUAUCUAGAAGUCUGGUAACUUGAAAAUUAGAAAAAGAAUAAAGCUGUGUAUUAUAGCAGGGUUGUACCUUGUGCAGUGGGGCAAAAACGAAGAAAACAAAUUUUCUCAAAAGGCAGCGAAAUAAAAAGGGCAAUAAUAGUGAAAUCCUUUCAUAUACCCCUCAACCAACAACAUCAAUACAAACACAUCAAUACAGCCGCAUAAACCAAGUAUAGAUAUGCCCAAUAGCGUAAAUAGAACACACUUACCGAACUUUUGCAGCAGAUUCUGCCGAAGAAGGAGACACUUAUAUAGCUGCUUCGUCACCGAACUGAGAGGGAGGUAGUGCGAUCAUCGAUUCAACUUCGAUUAAGAUUUGUAGCACGCGAUUUCACCAUCUUCGGGUUUGCCUUCGUCGUCGCUUCGCCACUGGUCCGAACUUCAAGUUUGGGCGUCAAUCGAUUUCACUGUCCCGAGCUAGUGCAACGGUCGAUUGAGUUUCGGUUGGUGUUGGGUUCAGAUGUCAGCGACUUAGGGCUUCUCUUGAGAGGGUGUGGGUGUUGGAGUGGGGGGGAGAACGUUUCACACUUUCACUUCGCCCCUCUUG
rnacentral:lncRNA from 1 species